rnacentral:rRNA from 1 species
AGUGAACGCUGGCGGUAGGCCUAACACAUGCAAGUCGAACGGCAGCACAGGAGAGCUUGCUCUCUGGGUGGCGAGUGGCGGACGGGUGAGGAAUACAUCGGAAUCUACCUUUUCGUGGGGGAUAACGUAGGGAAACUUACGCUAAUACCGCAUACGACCUUCGGGUGAAAGCAGGGGACCUUCGGGCCUUGCGCGGAUAGAUGAGCCGAUGUCGGAUUAGCUAGUUGGCGGGGUAAAGGCCCACCAAGGCGACGAUCCGUAGCUGGUCUGAGAGGAUGAUCAGCCACACUGGAACUGAGACACGGUCCAGACUCCUACGGGAGGCAGCAGUGGGGAAUAUUGGACAAUGGGCGCAAGCCUGAUCCUGCCAUACCGCGUGGGUGAAGAAGGCCUUCGGGUUGUAAAGCCCUUUUGUUGGGAAAGAAAAGCAGCCAGCUAAUACCUGGUUGUUCUGAUGCUACCCACAGAAGAAGCACCGGCUAACUCCGUGCCAGCCGCCGCAGUAA